rnacentral:rRNA from 1 species
UACAGAGGGUGCAAGCGUUAAUCGGAAUACUGGCGUAAAGCGUGCGCAGACGGUCUCGUAAGUCGGGUGUGAAAUCCCCGGGCUCAACCUGGGAAUUGCAUUCGAAACUGCGAGGCUAGGGUACGGAAGAGGGAAGCGGGAAUUUCUGGAUGUAGCGGUGGAAUGCGCAGAUAUCAGGAGGAACACCGGUGGCGAAGGCGGGAUCCUGGGCCAGUACUGACGCUGAGGAGCGAAAGCGUGGGGAGCAAACA